GGGCGCGCGACCCUGCAGAGGUAGUGCGUGCCCGUCGCUCUGUGCGCCCGCCCGCCGGAGCGCAGCAUCGCCUCCGGCCAAGAGCGUGCAUGCGUGGGAAUUCCAUGCCUGCCCCUGAGAUCGCUCAAGGUGCCCUGGAGAGGAGAGCUGAGGAGGAUCGAGGAACCCAGCAGGAGGGAGGUGGCGGUGACAGGCCUGGCAUGUGAAAAGUGAUGGGACACCCUGAGCCUGGGUCUGAGGGGAACCCGAGGUCCAGGAGAACCUCUCCAGGUGUGCCAGUGCGUGAACACGGUUGGAGGGAAGCAGGGAUGGGAAGCUCACGUCCACGAGGAAGCCCGAUGGGGACAGGCGUGGCUCAUGUGAAAUCCCAACCUUAGGAUGUAACUGGUAUCCAUUCCCUGGUACAAAUGAGGAAACGGAGGCAUGAAGAGGCUGAGCAAUUCGGUCUCAUCAAGCAGCGACAGCAUGCAAAUUUGGCUUUUUCAGUCUGUGAGAGGUUGCAUUUUGCAGAGAGGGCCACUGCAAGAACUCCCAUCCCACACAUACAGGGCAAGGCCAAUGUCCUCCCCCCGGACACACGCCCCUCCCACACUCCCUCCCCUUGAGUUUGGGUAAAUUUGAACUUGCAAAAAGUGGUGCUCUGUUGCUUCUGAGCUAGUCAGAAAAUGCAAUGUAGCUUCUGCUUGGGACUCUCGGGACUCUCACCUCUGGAGCUCUACACUGCCACGUGUGAGGAACAACAACCAGCCCACACAGAGAGAGCGCAUGGAGAGGCCCUGAGAGGACAGGGACUGGAGAGAGAUGCCCCGCCAGCAUGCACUGCUCCCAUCCUGCUGUUCCUGCUCCAGCCACCAGCUCCAGCUUCAUGCGAGACCCCGAGCCAGACCAGCCAGCCAAGCCCACUCCGGCUUCCUGACCCACAGAAACUGUGAGAGAUCAUGAAAUGGUUCUGAUUGCCUUGAGCCACUAGGUUUCGGGCUGGUUCAUUUCGCAGCAUUGGGUCAUUGGAACACGACCCAUUGCCAUCCAGUUGGGCCAAUGUUCAAGAUAAUCCGGAGUCCCCCUGCUUCUCCCAUCUCGACCCACCACGCUGCUCUGGGCCACCAUCGCCUCUCGCCUGGACCCCUGCAGUAGCUUCCUGACUGGUGUCCCUCCUUCUGCCCUCCACUCUGUGGGUCUGUUCUCCGCACAGCAGCCCGAGGGAGCCUGUGGAGCAGAAACACCUCUACCCAAAGCCCCCGUGGUGGCCUCCCUCUCCUUGAGUCCUGACAACGACCCGUAGGCCCUCUGUGAUCUGCCCCAUAGCCUCUCAGGCUGCAGCCCCCUCCUCCCCCCGCCAUCCCUCACUCACUCCCCUCCAGCUGUCCCCAAACGCAUCAGGCACACCCCUUCCUCAGAGCUGUUGUCCAUGCUGUCCCCAAGGUGUCUUCCUGGCAGGGUGAGAGGAGGGGCAGGGAGCCUCUCAAAAUGGGCUGUCCCCCUGCUCAGGGCACCUCCUCAUGUUCCAAAUGAGGACGUGAGGCCCUAGGAAGGCAAAUUACUUGUUGAAAGCUCACCAGUCAUUCAUGUAUUCAACAAAUGUGAAAGUUUCAUAGCAUCCAAACCUUCUGGAGUCAUUGAAUCCGGACUCUGAGUUCAAAUCCCAGGGCUGCCACCUGCAAGCCAAGGGGGGGCAAGUCACUUAGCCUCUCUGUGCCCGGUGGCCUCACAUGGAACAUGCAGAUAAUCCCGCACCCCAGAGGCAGAGCACGUUUGCUAACGAACUUCAGGCCCCACGCCCCUCACCCGCAUGCCCCCUUCCAAGGCACCCUUUCCAUCUCAUGCUCCCAAUCAUGGGUGUUUUCCUUAAAGAUUCUGAGAUUGAUUCAGUGUUAGCCCCCACCAUUCCAGGAUUGACCCCUGCCCAUAGCGGUUCCAGGAUUAAAUGAGUUACUGCCCACAGGGCGGUGCUUGGCUCAGAGUGAGGGCUCAGUACUAUGUUGUUGAGGGCCCCCUGUGUGCCAGGCACUGAGCUAGGAGCUAGAGAUUCAGUGAUGAACCACGUAGACCAAGCCCCUCUCCUCAUGGAGCUUCUGUCCUGACAGGGGGGCCCAGCAAGGACCACGCGAGCCAAGAGGAACACUGGCCGGUGGUGAUGAGGGCGAUAAUGAGCAGUCAGAUGGAGCAGGGCACAGGGAAGACAGGCGGCAAGGGGCAGGGUGGUUCACAGGGACCAGAGACUUGUUGGAGGAGGUGACAUCUGAAGAGCGGAAUGAUUAAAAGAACUGCAAUCAGAGGGGACGGCAGGUGCAGAGGCCCUGAGGUGGGAAUGAGCUGGACACAUUGGGGAAACAGCCACAGCCUGGGAGAAGCUUGGUGCUGGGCCCGCUCCCCGCUCCCACUUCCCGCCCGGAGGCACCAGCACUGGCAGGACUGCCUCCCCAGGCUGGAGCUGGGGUGCUGCUGUGCCGCGGCCCACACUGCCUCAUGACCUCAGCCCCACCCAGCCCAGCCCCCACUUCCCCUUCUGUGGUGACCCAGGCAGGCAGGGACCACAUCCUCUGCUAACCCUGGUCUCCUCUCCCUCACUCCCUCAGACUUCCUGAGUGGCUCCACUGACUCCCCAUCUGCCUUCCCACCCCUCAGCCACCCACUGGCCCCUGGCAGCAUCAGACCUGGCAGCCUCCUCUUCUUCCCUUUGCCGACCCUCCCAGAAACCAUGGGGGUUCCCCAAAUGCAUCAGCUGUUCCCUAGGCCCAGCACACCCUCCUUCCCUCCUCCCGACCCACUCUCAGCUGUCACCUCUUCCUGGAAGUCCCUGGGUUAUAUGGCCAGCAGAUGGAUUUGGUUCAUCUCUAAACCCCCAGGGCAGGAUGUAGGCCAUGGCACCAAGAAGGAUCUUAGUAGAUGGAUCAACGAGUGAAUGAGCAGUGAAGCCGCUUGGUCCAACCCACCGACCUCUGUGCUGAGCGCUGUGCUGGGCACAGAAGCCGGGGCUGAAGAAUUCAGGCAUCUGGGGCAGGUCUGGGCUCUGCAUUGAUUUGCUGUGUGACCUCGGUAAGCCACUAACCUAUGAUAAGCUUCUCCUCAUUUGCCAAAACAGCAGCUGGAAGAAACUAAAUGAUCUCCAAGCAUCACAGUCACAAGGGUGGACUUGAGCCAGCCAGCCUGGGCUAAAAUCCUGGCCCCUUGCCAGCUGUGUGACCUUUGGCAAGUUUCUGAACCUCUCUGAGCCCUAGCUCCCCAUCUGUAAGCACCAAAGAGCAUCAGGGCCUGUCUCACGACAUGGUUGUGACAAUGCGUGGCCAUGGCCGCUGUGGAAAGUGGGCCUGUGGAAAGCACAGGACAAGCAUCGACCGUAUGGUUAAUUAGACCAUAAUUACAUCCUUGAGUUGUGUCUGCAGAGAUGUGACAGGUCUGUGUGGACACAUCUACGACAUGUCCAAGGCAGUGUCCGGGAUUUCUGAGGUUCCUUGUGGCAACAAGGAUGGGAGUGUGAUGCCCACCACUAGUGUGUGCCAGCUGCAUGCACGCAGGUGCUCUUUUUCAUGUACAUGCUACCUGCCCUGAAGCAGCCUCCACCCUUGCCCCGACCCCUGGACCCUCUAUGGGGUCCAAUGUGACAGAGGGUGCUGAGGGAGACUGAGGUAAUCCCAUCAUGGCAGGCUGAGCUUCCAGAGACCCACUGGGAGAUGUCCCCCAACCACAGACAUGCUCUCUCAGGGAACUGAUGGACUGGAAAUGAGGUCACAGGCCACACAUGGGAGGUUCUGGGGAGCCCAGCUGGCGAGGGGCUGCCUCUCAGACUCCUGGGUCCCUGCCCCGAAGGGCCUGGGUGAGAGGGUCUUGUUUAAGCAGACACAGCCUAGGAACCUUAGUGAUCUCUGCGUCCAGGGCCCACGGCAACGGGUAAGCUGAGGCCAGGAAGGCUGAGUGUCUUGCCAAGAUCCCACAGCAGUAGGGUGGGGCUGAGGCCGGAAACUUGGACUCUAACCCCUGGCCAUGCUCCUCCUCUGCACAUGAUGUGUUUCUGGAAAUCACCUUAGUUCUACUUUCCAAAAUGAGUCAGGAGCAUCUGUACCCCCAGGAUCCAAAAAUAUUCCAGGGACUCCCUGAGAAGGACACCGAUAUCUUUCCAAGGUGUCUGAAAGCAGAACUGGCCUUCCCAGCAACUGAUAAUAAUGACACCAUUUCCCUUCAUUUGGUUAGAAUCCCUGAGGCCCUUACAGAGCCAAGACCUUGUCCUGUUCCUGUUACACUCCUAUGAAAUAGGGGACCAGGCCCCAUCCUACAAGUGACACCAGGAAGGCCCAAAGAGGUGGAACAAUUUACCCAGGGUCACACAGGCAAACCCUCAGGUUGCCCACCCCAGACCCGGACUCUUCCCCAAUGCCCCAGAGGUGAGUUUGAGCUUCCCUCUGAGAGGCAUGUGCCGAUCUUAGCAUGUCCUCCCACUCUCAAAUUCUAAUUCUUUUUCAUUUGAAAUGCCCUUACUAUAAAAACACAAUACAUGUUCACUUAUGAAAAUCUGAAAAAUGCAGAAAAGUCAAAAUAAGGAAGAAAAAUCACCACCCACUGCCCCACCAGCCGGGGACAAUCAUUGUUACGGUUUGAUGUAUUUCCUUCCAUAGUUUUUUGUUUGGGGACUUUUUUUAAACAUGACUGAGAUCAUACUGUAUAUUAAAGGGAAAAAACAGAAUGGCGGUAUCCUGCCUCUUUGACUUGCCAUUAUAUCAUGGGCACUUUUCUCGUUAUUUCAUCUCUGUAACCUCAUUUCUUUUUCCUCUUCUCAGAGCCUCAUUUUUAUUGGCUGCCUAAUAUUUUGUCAAGUGGAAGUUCCAGUUUAUUUAGCCAGUCCCUUAUUGUUGAACAUCUCAGUUAUUUCCAGUUGUUCAACAUUAUAAAUAAUACGUUUUGGUAGAUCUUUGCACAGAAAGCUUUCUUUUUUCCAUAUUUAGGGCUAUCUCCUUGGUUGGAAUGGAAUUACUGGGUCAGUGAGUCAUAAACAUUUUGGCACGGUUGGCCAAAUUGCUUUCCCAAGGACCUGCGCCAUGCCCACUCUACAGAUGAGCACAGAGAGGCCCCAAAAGGUGCCGUGAACUGUGCACAGUCACUCAGCCCAUCAGCUAUGCUACAGUUCUUCCUCUGUACCCCAUCUACCUCCAUCACCCUGCAUCCCUCUAAUCAUUCACUCAUUUGUUCAUGCAUUCAACAGGUAAUGUACAACUGAUGGUGCACCUCUUGUGGGCCAGAUGCAGGGCUAGACCCUGGAGAUACUGCAGUGAACACAACAGACAAAAACCUACUGCCUUCAAGAGGGUUCCAUCCCAAAGGCAGGGAGGGAAGAAGCAAACGGAGAAGGGCAAGGAGCUCUCGCCUGCCUUUGCAUUUGGCUAUAUGUAAAUCAAGGUGCUUAUUUGGGAAUUAGAGUCCUGGGCCAAGGUACAAAGGCAAAGGGUGACAUGUGGUAAACCUGAGGGCAGAAUCCAGCCCAGUUUUCUUGUCCUUAAAUUGUUUUCUAAAAUUUGGUCUUCCCUUAAAAAUUAGGAGAUUCCACAAGAGUCUGGAUUUCUGGCAUCUCCUGAACACUCUGCAGACCUGGCCUUGCUGGGCCUAGUUCCCAGGUGAUCCCUGGAGACCUGCUCAGCCACGGUGUCCCCACUGCCCAGACCACGCCCAGCCACCUGCCCCACGCUGUGCUCAGUUCCUGGCUGGUACCCUCUGCACACAUUCAGGCCACAGGCCUCUUGUGAUGUGAGCCUGGUGGGAUGGACUUGUCAGCAAGCACAAACACUGAGAGCAACACCCAGACAAGUAACAGUGAGAAGUCACUCACACCAGGCAGCUGACUGAUGGGGUGGUGAGUGACAAGGACAGGGUCCGAAUGGGGUGAUGGGGCUCCUGAGACCAAGCUCUUAAUGACUUAUCGGGCUAACAGUCCAGUGCAGAGCUGUCAGGUGCCGGAAGGCCCCACCCGUGGACAGACAGCCCUGCUUCUGCCAGAGGGAGCUCAGCAGGGACCCCAGGACAGCACAGGUCUAAGCAGCCCACUGGGCAGAUGGGCCUGUGAGCCAGAAGGGAGUCAUGUAGAAGGUUUCCUGUUUCUUCGAAGCAGGGCUGUCCUCUGCCAGGACGCCCCCUCCCCUUCCUUCACCAGCUCACGGCUAACCGCUUACCUUUGCUCAGCUCAGAUGCCAUGUCCUCCAAGAAGCCCUCCCUGUCCCCAUGUUCUCGAGUUCCCACAAUCCCCCUACAGGAGAGUCUCACUGCCAACCCCAACCCCCAUCCAGCGCACACCCCUCAGCUCCAUGUGGCAGUAACUGAAGGCCAGUGGGUGUGGCGGGCGACCUUGGGUGGCCCAUCAAGUCUGAGGCCCCAGCACAUACCUCAGCUUUAAGUUCACCGCUGGAUGACCUUGGGCAUUCCUUAACCUCUCUGCACCUCAGUUUCCCCCAUCUCUACAACAGACUGCAAUGGAGUGUUUCACCCCAGGUCACCCCGAGACUUCCCUGGAACAGAUGUUGUGUGGACCCCCGUAAGAGUUCACUCUGUUAUGAAUGAACAGGGGAGCACGGCUCUGCAGAGCUCUGGGAGCUCCGAGACCCCCACGCUCCCAUUUUACAGCAGAGAAAACUGAGUCCCAACAAGAAGACCAUGCCUUAAACAACAGCCCCUUAGCCCCCAGCCCCAGGUGCUGUCACCAGCUGCCCUUGGUUUGGGGUCCACGCCCCCAGAAAAGGUUUCUGUAAGAAGAGACACGGUGACCCACAGACAAGCAGCCCCCUGCUGGCCCCCACCCCUGCAGGGCCAGCCUGUGUCUUCUGUCCCAGGCCUGGCCGGGGUCUGCUCCCCGGGCAUUCACCAGUCUGGGAAGGACCUUUCCCCCAGAGGCUGCCUCCCUGGCCAUCAAAGGAAGAGGCGGCUUCCUGGCCUGAACAAUGGGGCCGGGAUGUCCCUCAGCGUCUGGCAGGCAGGGGUGUGGGGUCAUCUGAUGAGGAUGCCAUUCCCACUCAGGGAGCGCAGGGGAUGUGCAGGUAGAGCUGGGAGGGGCGUUGGACCCCAGCUGGAGGCAGCAGCAUCCUUGGGGAACUCUCCCGAGCCUGGUCCUUGUGACCUUGGGCAAGGCGCUCCAUCUCACUGGGCCUCAGUUCCCCACCUGCAACAUGGAGAAUGACAAGAACAUCUACUACAGGGAUUUGUGAAAUUAACCAAACCCUUUCUGCAAAGGGCCUCACACCGAUCAGAUGGUGUCAGAUUUCACACCCAGGUGAACUCUGACACACACUCCAGCCACAGAUGCCUGGGUUAGAAACUCCUCUGCUGCCUCCUGCUGUGUGACCUCGGGCAAGUUACUUAACCUCUCUGUGCCUUAGCUUCCUCGUCUAAAAUGGGAGUAAUAAUAGACCCUCUGCGGAGGGGUGUUCGCAGAUUAACUGAAUUAACGUAAGCAAAGUGCUUGAAGAAACUGCUGGGCCGUGAUUGAGAGAUCAUCCUCACCACCCCCUUGCCUUCUCUGUGCAUGUCCUGGGGCUGAUGUAACAAAUUACCACAAACCUGGUGACUUAAAACCACACAGGUUUUUAAUCUUACAGUCUUGGAGACCCCGAUGUCGUCGGGGCUGCGCUGCUUCUGCAGGAGAACCCGUUUGCUCGCCUUCUGCGGCUCCCGGACGCCCCUGCGGUCCCCGGCCCGCGGCGCCUCUCCAAAGCCAGCACCACAGCGCCUUCCCCUCUCUCCCUCUCUUCGCGCCUCCGUCGCCAGGUCUCCUGUCUGACCCUGACCGUCUUCCCGCCCUCUAUUUUUUUUUUAACUUUUCAUUUAGAACUCAUUUUAGCUUUACAAGAGUUGUAAGGAUGACUCAGAGUUCCCAUAUAUUCUUCCUAACGGA